CGCCAUUUUGUGGCGGCGAGGUGCGAUGGCGGCGCGGGCUCCUGAGGGGCGAGCGAGCCCUUCCGUGCGACCUGAGAGGGGUUUAAAAGGGCACUUCAGCUCGGGGGGGAUGGUUCAAGCCUUGUCUUGACUUGGCAGAGAGAGAAGUACCUGAGAAGUGGGUCCCGGUUGGCCGGAGGAUGGAGCUGCUUUUCCCACUGCCAGUGCUGUGGAAGGACAGGAGAGAACACGAGAUGAUGCCAUCGAGGCAGCAGUGCAGUGAGCUGAUCCCAAACCCUUUCCUGUGGAAAGAAAUGAAGAAAUGUGAUCAAGAUUGCCAUCAGUAUUCAAGAACACUUAAAAAUAUCUAUGGGAACACGCACAGAGAAGGAAUGUGAAUUCAGUCAGAUAAAAACAUGCGGAGGUCGAUAUAUGUUCUGUAGGAUGAGGUAAACAUUGAAUAAAGUUGCUUUCUGUCCACAAACAAUUUGCUUUUUUAAAUGUGUCCUGCCUUUUGCUUCGGACAAAACUUGACAGGUUUGUACAAAGGGAA